rnacentral:rRNA from 1 species
CAGGCUUAACACAUGCAAGUCGAGGGGCAGCAUGGUCUUAGCUUGCUAAGGCCGAUGGCGACCGGCGCACGGGUGAGUAACACGUAUCCAACCUGCCGUCUACUCUUGGACAGCCUUCUGAAAGGAAGAUUAAUACAAGAUGGCAUCAUGAGUCCACAUGUUCACAUGAUUAAAGGUAUUCCGGUAGACGAUGGGGAUGCGUUCCAUUAGAUAGUAGGCGGGGUAACGGCCCACCUAGUCUUCGAUGGAUAGGGGUUCUGAGAGGAAGGUCCCCCACAUUGGAACUGAGACACGGUCCAAACUCCUACGGGAGGCAGCAGUGAGGAAUAUUGGUCAAUGGGCGAGAGCCUGAACCAGCCAAGUAGCGUGAAGGAUGACUGCCCUAUGGGUUGUAAACUUCUUUUAUAAAGGAAUAAAGUCGGGUAUGCAUACCCGUUUGCAUGUACUUUAUGAAUAAGGAUCGGCUAACUCCGUGCCAGCAGCCGCGGUAAUACGGAGGAUCCGAGCGUUAUCCGGAUUUAUUGGGUUUAAAGGGAGCGUAGAUGGAUGUUUAAGUCAGUUGUGAAAGUUUGCGGCUCAACCGUAAAAUUGCAGUUGAUACUGGAUAUCUUGAGUGCAGUUGAGGCAGGCGGAAUUCGUGGUGUAGCGGUGAAAUGCUUAGAUAUCACGAAGAACUCCGAUUGCGAAGGCAGCCUGCUAAGCUGCAACUGACAUUGAGGCUCGAAAGUGUGGGUAUCAAACAGGAUUAGAUACCCUGGUAGUCCACACGGUAAACGAUGAAUACUCGCUGUUUGCGAUAUACGGCAAGCGGCCAAGCGAAAGCGUUAAGUAUUCCACCUGGGGAGUACGCCGGCAACGGUGAAACUCAAAGGAAUUGACGGGGGCCCGCACAAGCGGAGGAACAUGUGGUUUAAUUCGAUGAUACGCGAGGAACCUUACCCGGGCUUAAAUUGCAGAUGAAUUACGGUGAAAGCCGUAAGCCGCAAGGCAUCUGUGAAGGUGCUGCAUGGUUGUCGUCAGCUCGUGCCGUGAGGUGUCGGCUUAAGUGCCAUAACGAGCGCAACCCUUGUUGUCAGUUACUAACAGGUUCCGCUGAGGACUCUGACAAGACUGCCAUCGUAAGAUGUGAGGAAGGUGGGGAUGACGUCAAAUCAGCACGGCCCUUACGUCCGGGGCUACACACGUGUUACAAUGGGGGGUACAGAGGGCCGCUACCACGCGAGUGGAUGCCAAUCCCCAAAACCUCUCUCAGUUCGGACUGGAGUCUGCAACCCGACUCCACGAAGCUGGAUUCGCUAGUAAUCGCGCAUCAGCCACGGCGCGGUGAAUACGUUCCCGGGCCUUGUACACACCGCCCGUCAAGCCAUGGGAGCCGGGGGUACCUGAAGUGCGUAACCGCGAGGAGCGCCCUAGGGUAAAACUGGUGACUGGGGC